GCAAGGUGGACCAAUCCUUAAAGCCGGUCUCAGUUCGGAUUGCAGGCUGCAACUCGCCUGCUGAGUCGGAUUGCUAGUAAUCGCGGAUCAGCAUGCCGCGGUGAUACGUUCCCGGGUCUUGUACACACCGCCCGUCACACCACGAGAGUUUGCAACACCCGAAGUCGGUGGGGUAACCGCAAGGAGCCAGCCGCCGAAGUGGGGUAGAUGAUUGGGGUGAAGUCGUAACAAGGUAGCCGUAUCGGAAGGUGCGGCUGGAUCACCUCCUA
rnacentral:rRNA from 1 species